GUAGACAUAGUUUGAACUAAAAUAUUAGAUUGUGAUUCUAAAGAGAGAGGUUAGUAUCCUCUUGUCUACC
ensembl:Mt_tRNA